rnacentral:lncRNA from 1 species
UAAAGUGGUGCCCCAGAGCGGGCUAGUCCCAGAGAGUUAAUUAUGCAUAAGCAGUUGCAAAGUUUGCUUUUGCGGUAUAAUAUUGAGCCACAUAUUCUUCACAGUAUAUUUUGCUCAUACCUACUGCCGACUUCCACAUGACAGCUGAAUUGCGAACUAAAUCUCAGACUAGAAACACACGACGUGAGCUAAAAGCAGUUCUGCAAUCUUCCUCAAGAAUGCUCAGACUGAUCCUCUUCCUUCACGCAGCUGAAAUGCCGCCACUUCCUAGGACCACACUAAGAGUGUUUGUGGAAAAAAGUGCCAAUGACUCAGUUCAGUUUUGUAAAGUACUAGCAGUUCUCUGGAGGAAACGUGCCAUAUUGAAUCUCUGCCAGGUGGACCAGAAAUGCCUGGCUCCACUUGGACUGUCGUCUCCAAUUGCACAUCCAUCCUGGAACCUGAGUGGUAAGUGGGCACAGCAUCCAGGGAGCAGCUUCUGGGGCUGCAGACCUAAUCAAAAACACUAAAUGUGGGAGUGGGUGCCCAGGGCAUGCUCUGGGGACACUUUUGCUGCAUGCUUUACACAUCAGCCCCAGGUUCUCUCUGGAUCCAGAGUAGCCAACAG